rnacentral:rRNA from 1 species
AUGCCACUUUGGGACAAGAGGCUCAAGAGAAUUUUCUUCCAAGGUUUGCUUGACAAGAUUGCCAAGAAGUCAGCCGCAUGGAAAGCUCGAUGGAUUACUUUGGCUGGUUGUACUGUUCUGGUCAGAUUCGUGCUCUCUGCCAUGCCUAUUUUUCAACUUAUUGUCGUUGAGCAGCCAAAAUGGUUUAUUAAACAAAUUGACAAGAUGAGAAGGGCCUUUCUUUGGGCCGGGUCAGAUGCAGUUAGUGGUGGAAAAUGCUUGAUCAAAUGGUCUCAAGUUUGCUCUCCUCUUGAGCUUGGUGGGCUAGGUAUACCUGAUCUGAUUUGUCAAGGAAGGGCACUGAGAGUUAGGUCGCUCUGGCAGAACGCCAUCGAUGGUGAUAAAUCUUCGCAUGGGUUAACAUUGCCAAUGGACAAGGAGGUUAAGGCCAUUUUUGUGGCUAGUACUUCAAUCAAGAUUGGGAAUGGAAAAUCAUUCAGUUUUUGGCAUGAUCAUUGGCUGCAUGGUGAGAUCCCCUCGGUUUCCUUCCCGUUACUUUACAAGCACUGUAAUAGGCGCCAGAUCACUGUCUCUGAAGGUCUCACGGAUAAUCUCUGGAUUCGGCUCAUCAAGCGCAACCCUGAUGAGGCUGUUCUAAGAGAAUUUGUUGACUUAUGGCACAGAUUACAAAGCUUCAACGUCUCUGAAUUGGAAGACGAAGUUUGUUGGAAAUGGACUGCGAUGGAACUUAUUGCGCACAAUCUACAUACCAUUUACAGUUUUAUGGCAGAGUCAGCUCUCCUUUCUUGA